UUCAACUUGAGAGUUUGAUCCUGGCUCAGAACGAACGCUGGCGGCAGGCUUAACACAUGCAAGUCGAGCGAGACCUUCGGGUCUAGCGGCGGACGGGUGAGUAACGCGUGGGAACGUGCCCUUUGCUACGGAAUAGUCCCGGGAAACUGGGUUUAAUACCGUAUGUGCCCUUCGGGGGAAAGAUUUAUCGGCAAAGGAUCGGCCCGCGUUGGAUUAGGUAGUUGGUGGGGUAAUGGCCUACCAAGCCGACGAUCCAUAGCUGGUUUGAGAGGAUGAUCAGCCACACUGGGACUGAGACACGGCCCAGACUCCUACGGGAGGCAGCAGUGGGGAAUCUUAGACAAUGGGGGCAACCCUGAUCUAGCC
rnacentral:rRNA from 1 species